CUCUCCACUCUGUCACUAAAAAGGCAUUUGCGCCUGCUUUUACCGGCUGACCUCCAAAAUGCCGGUGAUUCGGCUGCAACCGCCGCUAAAGCUUCUGCUUUUAAUUUUGGUGUUCUAUUUUCGUUAUUCAGAUUCAGAGAUUAUUUUCGAAGAACGAUUUGAAGAUGGAUGGCAGAGCCGCUGGGUUGUAUCAGAUUGGAAAAGGAGUGAAGGGAAAGCUGGUUUGUUUAAGCACACAGCUGGAAAAUGGUCUGGAGAUCCUGAUGAUAAAGGUAUUCAGACAUAUAAAGAUGCCAAGCAUUUUGCAAUAUCUGCAAAGAUACCGGAGUUCAACAACAAGAACAGAACACUUGUGGUUCAGUAUUCCAUAAAGUUUGAACAGGACAUUGAAUGCGGUGGUGGUUACAUUAAGCUUCACUCAGGUUAUGUCAAUCAGAAGAAAUAUGGUGGUGAUACUCCUUACAGUUUGAUGUUUGGACCAGAUAUAUGUGGCACACAGCAAAAGAAGCUCCAUGUUAUAGUCUCUUACCAGGGACAAAAUUAUCCCAUAAAAAAGGAGAUACAAUGUGAAACAGACAAGUUAACACAUUUCUAUACAUUUAUUCUUAGGCCUGACGCAACUUAUACUGUCCUUGUUGACAAUCGAGAAAGAGAAUUUGGAAGCUUGUACACAGACUGGGAUAUCCUUCCUCCACGAAAAAUCAAAGGUGACAGUAGAAAGCCUGCAGACUGGGACGAUAGAGAAUAUAUUGAUGAUCCUAAUGAUGUGAAACCAGUGGGAUAUGAUUCAAUUCCUGCUGAAAUUCCCGAUCCAAAGGCUAAAGAGCCUGAUGAUUGGGAUGAAGAAGAAGAUGGUUUAUGGAGGCGACCAAAGAUUCCAAAUCCAGCAUACAAAGGACCUUGGAAACGGAAGAAGAUCAAGAACCCCAACUAUAAGGGGAAGUGGAAGACUCCUUGGAUUGAUAAUCCAGAGUUUGAAGAUGACCCUGAUCUAUAUGUACUGAAGCCAAUAAAAUACAUAGGAAUUGAAGUUUGGCAGGUUAAGGCUGGUUCAGUUUUUGACAACAUUUUGAUCUGUGAUGACCCAGAGUAUGCAAGACAAGUUGUAGAAGACGUAUGGGGGAAGAACAGAGAGGCUGAAAAAGAGGCAUUCGAGGAAGCAGAGAAAGUGAGAAGAGCCAGGGAAGAAAAGGAAGCGGAAAGAACAAGAGAGGAAAGUGAGAAGAGGAAAGCAGCAAGGGAUAGUCGGUAUGGAGCUAGGAAGCGCCGUAGAAGGCAUGAUCCAGACGACGACUUGGAUGAUUACCACGAUGAACUUUAAGAGGCAGUUGCAGAGAUUUUCGGCUUUUACUUUGUUGAAAGAUAAAAGGAAGAGAUCACUGCACUUUGCUGGACCCCCAAUGCCCUGCAUUAUUGCGACAUGGUGAGAAAAACCGAAGAAAAACAAAGAUUGUAGAGUCUGAUGUGGACUCUGCAGUUGUAAUUUAAUGCCAUUAGAGAAGAGCCAUCAACCUCCAUGGCCCCCCAAUUUAGCUUCUCAUCCUGGAUUUCUCAAGAAGCUGAAACAUGAUGGGAUAUCGCUUUCUUGAAUUGUCAGAUGUGACAUUUUCAUUUUCUUGUGAUCCAAACAGGGCAGCUGAUGAUUUGGGUAACUUCGCUUAUAAUUAUAGGAUAGUCAUGACUAGGAUUGUUCUUUUUGUUUCCUUAAGGAAAAUCUCGGGGUUGGAUAAUGAUGGAGUAAAUUGUAUAACAGAGAGAUUUCAACAGUAGAUUUCUCAGAAAAGUUUGUCUUGUUUGGAUGCUAAGAAAAUUGGGUAUUUGUUCAUUUAUC